rnacentral:rRNA from 1 species
UGCAAGCGUUAUCCGGAAUCAUUGGGCGUAAAGCGCCUGUAGGUUGUUUAAUAAGUCCGUUGUUAAAGACUAGGGCUUAACCCUAGGAAAGCGAUGGAAACUGAUAGACUUGAGUAUGGCAGGGGUAGAGGGAAUUUCUAGUGUAGCGGUGAAAUGCGUAGAUAUUAGAAAGAACACCGGUGGCGAAAGCGCUCUACUGGACCAUUACUGACACUGAGAGGCGAAAGCUAGGGGAGCGAAAGGGAUUAGAUACCCCUGUAGUCCUAGCCGUAAACGAUGGAUACUAGAUGUUGUGCAAUUUGGACAGUAUCGUAGCUAACGCGUUAAGUAUCCCGCCUGGGGAGUACGCUCGCAAGGGUGAAACUCAAAGGAAUUGACGGGGGCCCGCACAAGCGGUGGAGCAUGUGGUUUAAUUCGAUGCAACGCGAAGAACCUUACCAGGGCUUGACAUACUACAGAUCUUUUUGAGAAAGAAGAGUGCCUUCGGGAAUGUAGAUACAGGUGGUGCAUGGCUGUCGUCAGCUCGUGUCGUGAGAUGUUGGGUUAAGUCCCGCAACGAGCGCAACCCUCGUUUUUAGUUGCCAAUUUAUUGGGAUCUCUAGAAAGACUGCCGGUGACAAACCGGAGGAAGGUGAGGAUGACGUCAAGUCAGCAUGCCCCUUAUGCCCUGGGCUACACACGUGCUACAAUGGCUAAGACAAAGGGUCGCGAGCUUGCAAGAGUCAGCUAAUCUCAUAAACUUAGCCUAAGUUCAGA